rnacentral:rRNA from 1 species
GGAGAGUACCCGGAGAAAAAGCAUCGGCUAACUCCGUGCCAGCAGCCGCGGUAAUACGGAGGAUGCGAGCGUUAUCCGGAUUUAUUGGGUUUAAAGGGUGCGUAGGCGGGCAUUUAAGCCGGCGGUCAAAUGUCGGGGCUCAACCCCGGCCUGCCGUCGGAACUGGGUGCCUUGAGUGGGCGAGAAGUAUGCGGAAUGCGUGGUGUAGCGGUGAAAUGCAUAGAUAUCACGCAGAACCCCGAUUGCGAAGGCAGCAUACCGGCGCCCUACUGACGCUGAGGCACGAAAGUGCGGGUAUCGAACAGGAUUAGAUACCCUGGUAGUCCGCACAGUAAACGAUGGAUGCUAUCUGUCCGGGCCGAAUGAGGCCUGG